CCUACGGGAGGCAGCAGUGGGGAAUAUUGCACAAUGGGGGAAACCCUGAUGCAGCAACGCCGCGUGAGUGAAGAAGUAUUUCGGUAUGUAAAGCUCUAUCAGCAGGGAAGAAGAUGACGGUACGUGAAUAAGAAGCUCCGUAUAACUUCGUUCCAGCAGCCGCGGUAACACGUAGGGGGCAACCGUGAUCCGGAUUUUCUGGGUGUAAAGGGAGCGCAGACGGCAGUGCAAGUCUGGAGUGAAAGCCCGGGGCCCAACCCGGAAACUGCUAUGGAUACUGUGCGGCUAGAGUACUGAGGGGGCAGGCGGAAUUCCUAGUGUAGCGGUGAAAUGCGUAGAUAUUAGGAGGAACACCAGUGGCGAAGGCGGCCUGCUGGACAGUAACUGACAUUGAGGCUCGAAAGCGUGGGGAGCGAACAGGAUUAGAUACCCGGGUAGUC
rnacentral:rRNA from 1 species